CUUUAGCUCAGUUGGUCAGAGCGAGCGACUCAUAAUCGCCAGGUCGCUGGUUCAAGUCCAGCAAG
rnacentral:tRNA from 2 species